GACGAACGCUGGCGGCGUGCCUAACACAUGCAAGUCGAGCGGUAACAGGUGUAGCAAUACAUGCUGACGAGCGGCGGACGGGUGAGUAACGCUUGGGAAUCUGCCUAUUAGUGGGGGACAACCCGGGGAAACGUCGGGCUAAUACCGCAUACGCACUACGGUGGAAAGCCGGGGACCGCAAGGCCUGCGCUAACAGAUGAGCCCAAGUCGGAUUAGCUAGUUGGUAGGGUAACGGCCUACCAAGGCGACGAUCCGUAACUGGUCUGAGAGGACGACCAGUCACACCGGAACUGAGACACGGUCCGGACUCCUACGGGAGGCAGCAGUGGGGAAUAUUGGACAAUGGGCGAAAGCCUGAUCCAGCGACGCCGCGUGGGUGAAGAAGGCCUGCGGGUUGUAAAGCCCUUUCAGUGGGGGAAGAAAAGCCUCGAGCUAACACCUCGGGGUCUUGACGUAACCCAUAGAAGAAGCACCGGCUAACUCUGUGCCAGCCGCCGCGGU
rnacentral:rRNA from 1 species